GGCAGGCCCUUCGGUGGGUUUGUGAGGAAGGCUGUUAAGCAAACACCAUCGCAAGGAGCAGGCCGGCGUCAGGCGACACCACCUCACUGUUCAGAGGAGGAACCAAGAUCAACCAGAUGCAGGGCAGAGCACAGGUUCCGAGGACAUCUUCAGAAAUGACAGGAACGUGCAGCUGUCACCUUUCAAACAAGUAGCAUGAAAGGACAACUCUGCGGGAUUGGACGGUGGCUCUCUGACCCUCCA
rnacentral:lncRNA from 1 species